rnacentral:rRNA from 1 species
CAGCCGCCGCGGGAAUACGUAGGGUGCGAGCGUUAAUCGGAAUUACUGGGCGUAAAGCGUGCGCAGGCGGUUGUGUAAGACAGGUGUGAAAUCCCCGGGCUUAACCUGGGAACUGCGCUUGUGACUGCACAGCUAGAGUAUGGCAGAGGGGGGUGGAAUUCCACGUGUAGCAGUGAAAUGCGUAGAGAUGUGGAGGAACACCGAUGGCGAGGGCAGCCCCCUGGGCCAAUACUGACGCUCAUGCACGAAAGCGUGGGGAGCAAACAGGAUUAGAUACCCGUGUAGUCCCUGUCUCUUAUAC